rnacentral:sRNA from 1 species
AAAAAUAGCUUAGCUUAUAGGAUUUAACUUUUCAAUUAUUUUCAUUUAUUAAUUUUAACUCAUUUAAUAUUAAUUUGCAUGAUGUAAAAUUAACUUACGAGAUUACGGCAUAUAUAGAAAAUAUAUUUUCAACAAUGUUUGGUUUUUUAUUAAUUAUUAGCCCUAGGCGUUUGGGUAUUCGGGUCGGGUAUUUCGGGUUCGGGUUUUUGGGUUUAAAAGUUUAGGACGCGUUCGAGUAAUUUAAGAUUUCGGGUCGGGUUCAGUUUGGCUUCGGGUUCGGGUUCGAGUUUAUUUAUAUAUUGAAAUAUCAAAUUUUGUGUGUAAAUCUAUUAAAUUACUUGAAAAUUUCAAAAACUCCCAAAACAACACGAGUUGUUUUGCUUGAAUAUAUCUAAAAAUACACAAAAUAACUAAAAUAUCCAAAAAAUCGUAAUAUUUUCUAUAUAUAAGUAUAAAUAUAACUAAUAUAUACUUAUAUUUGAGAUAUGUUUGGAUACCUAUUCGGGUUCGAGUUUUUUGGGUUUUGAAGUUUAGACCUGUUCGAGUAUUUUAAAAU